rnacentral:rRNA from 1 species
UACGGGGGAGCAAGCGUUGUUCGGAUUUACUGGGCGUAAAGGGCGCGUAGGCGGCCUCUGCAAGUCGACUGUGAAAUCUCCGGGCUUAACCCGGAACGGUCAGCCGAUACUGCAGGGCUAGAGUGCAGAAGGGGCAAGCUGGGAAGUUCUCGGGAUUGUAGGCGGUGGAAAAUGGCGUAGAUAUCGAGAGGAACGACCUGGCGGCGAAGGCGGGUUGCUGGGCUGACACUGACGCUGGAGGCGCGGAAAGCUAGGGGAGCGAACGGG